GACGAACGCUGGCGGCGUGCCUAACACAUGCAAGUCGAGCGGUAAGGCCCUUUCGGGGGUACACGAGCGGCGAACGGGUGAGUAACACGUGGGUGACCUGCCCUCAGCUCUGGGAUAAGCCUGGGAAACCGGGUCGUAAUACUGGAUAUGACUCCAUGACGCAUGUUGUGGGGUGGAAAGCCUUGUGCGGCUGAGGAUGGGCCCGCGGCCUAUCAGCUUGUUGGUGGGGUGAUGGCCUACCAAGGCGACGACGGGUAGCCGGCCU
rnacentral:rRNA from 1 species